UCAACAAGCUCAACCGUUUAACACUCUUCUCUCUCAAAGUCACCCCUCGGUCGAAACUUACCAGAGCCUCCAUCACCGUCGGUCGUCGGUGGUCUCCUCAGUGAUUACUCUUUGCUACGGCCACCUACCACGCUAGUAAGGUAAGCUACACUAAACCUAAGACUUACUAAAUCGUUCCCUCUACUCUUCUUUUCAAACCGAAAUCUCCAAGACUCUUCACGCCGGCCACCUUGCUUAGGUGGCCACGUCCAUCUCCGGCUAUCCCCUAAACCACCCAGUGAAAACCCUAGGCCAUCUUAAACAAAUUGAGAUGCCUCAUGGUGACUCACUCAUCCGAUACCUACUCUUAAUUAAGACUCACCCAAACCCCGAAAUAAACACCCUUAUUUUAUGUCUAAACCCCGCGUCUCUCGAUUGAGGGAAACCUAAAAUCCCCUAAAAUAGCUUUCAAACUCCCACGCUCCUGCCCCAUCUCCAACGAUAGAUGGCUCAGCCCGAGGGGACCCGUUGUGCUUGCUGAAUGACCAGUUUGGUGACGAGGCUUGGUGGGACCAGCUGAGACUACUCACAUGGAGGAUAGGAACCCGGACGAAAUUAAGUCGAACCAGUACCCUAACACUUCACUAAUCCAGAUCGAGGGGGUUAACACCAAGGAGGAAGUGGCUUAGUACGCCGACAAGCGAAUGGCUUAUAUUUACAAGGCCAAUGUGAAGAAGAAUGGCUCGCACUAUCGCUACAUUUUGGUCAAUGUAGCCAGGCUCCAUGGUAACAGUGGUGUUAUAAGUGCUAAGUUCAAGCCCAACCUUCCCCCAAAAUCCAUGAGUCAGAAUCCUCAUGUAUACCAGCA